UGGUACCACACACCUCCCUUUGAACACAUUAACCAGCCAGUCACCUCCACUGUGUCUCUGAGAGUGGCCAAUCAGACACUGGCCUGCUCAUCACAGCUCACCUACCAUCCCGACCCAGAAUUCACCAGCUAUACUGCAAUCAAGACAGGAAACGACCUGCAUGUCACCAUUGAGGUAUACACAUGUGCACGCAUGCAUGCACCCAUACCUACACACAUACAUGCUCUCUCUCUUUUAUUUCAGAAAAAGCCUGACAAGUUGAACAUCGCCACAGAAGAGAUCUCAGUGUUGGUUGUUCAGGAGGAGAACCAGGAUGUAGAGUGUGCCAUGGACACCAUUGAGACGAGGAAAGGGAAUGACUCUGUCAUCUGUGAGAUAAAGAACACUCCCAGCGCCAACAUCAAGUCAGUGAAGAUAAGAGUUGGCAAUGUCACAAUAAACCUUGAUUCAACACACACUCAACUGCUAAGACUCUUUCUGCUUAUAUCCAUCAUCAUUAUAGUCAUCGUUGCACCACUGCACUAUUUAAGCAGCAGUUUUACCCUCCAGUAUUCCUUAUCCUGCUGGGGAUUGCAAUGGCCAAACUCAUUAUUCAUUUCCGUGAUCUGCGUCCCUGACAACGU